UAUGGCUCAGGAUGAACGCUAGCUACAGGCUUAACACAUGCAAGUCGAGCGGAACUGCUUCGGCAGUUAGCGGCAGACGGGUGAGUAACACGUAUCCAACCUGUCCCUUACUCGGGCAUAGCCUCUGGAAACGGAGAAUAAUUCCCGAUGAAGUGUACGAGGAGCAUUUUUUGCACACCAAAGAUUAAUCGGUAAGGGUUGGGGAUGCGUUCCAUUAGCUAGUAGGCGGGGUAACGGCCCACCUAGGCGAUGAUGGAUAGGGGUUCUGAGAGGAAGGUCCCCCACACUGGAACUGCGACACGGUCCAGACUCCUACGGGAGGCAGCAGUGAGGAAUAUUGGUCAAUGGUCGAAGGACUGAACCAGCCAAGUAGCGUGCCAGGAUGACGGCCCUACGGGUUGUAAACUGCUUUUGUGCGGGAAUAACGGUCGACACGUGUGUUGAUGUGCAUGUACCGUACGAAUAAGGAUCGGCUAACUCCGUGCCAGCCGCCGC
rnacentral:rRNA from 1 species